CCUACGGGCGGCUGCAGUAAGGAAUAUUGGUCAAUGGACGAAAGUCUGAACCAGCCAUCCCGCGUGCAGGAUGAAAGCCCUAUGGGUUGUAAACUGCUUUUAGCAGAGAAGAAAAGCUUUCAUUAAUGAGAGUCUGACGGUAUCUGCAGAAUAAGCACCGGCUAACUCCGUUCCAGCAGCCGCGGUAAUACGGAGGGUGCGAGCGUUAUCCGGAUUUACUGGGUCGAAGGGGUACGUAGACGUCGUAUGAGAAAUCUUGUCGCUUAACGAUAAAAUUGCAAAUGAGACUGGUACGCUUGAAGUGGGUUGAGGUUAGCGGAAUGUGACAUGUAGCGGUGAAAUGCAUAGAUAUGUCAUGGAACACCAAUUGCGAAGGCAGCUAACUGGGCCUUGAUUGACGCUGAGGCACGAAAGCGUGGGUAGCGAACAGGAUUAGAUACCCGAGUAGUC
rnacentral:rRNA from 1 species